GACGAACGCUGGCGGCGUGCCUAACACAUGCAAGUUGAGCGACGAACCAGGGCUUGCCCUGGGGCAAAGCAGCGAACGGGUGAGUAACACGUGGGUAACCCACCCCGAUAACUGGGACAACCCGAGGAAACUCGGGCUAAUACCGGAUGUGCUCACUGGACUUCGGUUCAGUGCGUAAAGGAAGCUUCGGCCUCCGUAUCGGGAGGGGCCCGCGGCCCAUUAGUUUGUUGGUGAGGUAACGGCUCACCAAGACCGCGAUGGGUAGCUGGUCUGAGAGGACGAUCAGCCACACUGGGACUGAGACACGGCCCAGACUCCUACGGGAGGCAGCAGUGGGGAAUCUUGCGCAAUGCGCGAAAGCGUGACGCAGCAACGCCGCGUGGGGGAAGAAGGCCUUCGGGUUGUAAACCCCUUUCAGGAGGGACGAAGGUUCGGCGGUGAAUAGCCGUCCGGACUGACGGUACCUCCACAAGAAGCCCCGGCUAACUACGUG
rnacentral:rRNA from 1 species